GCUGGAGUAUAACUUUCCAAAAAACGUAGAUGCCUGCACAGUCACACUCCUGACAGUUUCAUUAUCUGCAUGAACUGGUGAUGUGGGCAUUGCUGUAGAAGAGAAAGCAAGCAAAGGGUUUUCAAGCUGCAUCCCCUGCCUGUGUGACACAGAUGGACAUUGCCAGCAGAAAUGGUUCACGAGAGGAAGAGGAUUUCCGUUCAUCUUUCCAACUG
rnacentral:lncRNA from 1 species